GCAGACAGAUUCCAGCCAAUCAGCAGCAGACUCUCCCUCCCAGACCCUCCCACCUCCUGGACAGCAUCCAUUUUACAUUCAUUGUGAAGCUGCAUUCUUAGUGAGCUGUCCAGGAGGUGGGAGGGUCUGGGAGGGAGGGUCUGCUGCUGAUUGGCUGGAAUGUGUCUG